rnacentral:lncRNA from 1 species
UAUGGAGUGUCAAGUACAUGCUAAUAUACGUUCCAUAACGAGGAAGGAUGCAUGACAAUAAUGCUAGUGCAUGGACGGUUGGUAACAUAGGAGAUGAAUUCAUCAAAUGCAAACUGCCCAUUCAGGUACUCAAGGCACAUUAAAGAUUCAAAUUAAGAAAUGCAUGAGCCAUGUAUAUAACAUUUGGUCAAAGGGGAUGAAGAGAUAAUUAAAGGCUGAACAUGCAAGGAACUUGGAGAUUUCUUCAUGGUGAAGCAUUCAUGCACGUCUAAGGGGGUGUUUAACAUUAAAUUUGGCCAUGUAUGAACCUCUCUAAGAACAUGAACUUUUUUUAAAUGCUUAGUGUGAACAUUUUCAAUAUUUUGUGUGAAUGUCUUAAGUGUUAUUGUGAACCCAUAUGUACCAAAUGUGAGUAGUCAAUUUAGGAGUUUAUAUAAAGCUUUGUAAUUGAACAUUUCAAGUUAGACCAGUUUUAAUAAAAAAAAAAUUUGUUUG